AAUGGAUCCGUAACUUCGG
rnacentral:snRNA from 1 species